UACGUAGGGUGCAAGCGUUAAUCGGAAUUACUUGGCGUAAAGCGUGCGCAGGCGGUUUUGUAAGUCUGACGUGAAAUCCCCGGGCUUAACCUGGGAAUUGCGUUGGAGACUGCAAGGCUGGAGUCUGGCAGAGGGGGGUAGAAUUCCACGUGUAGCAGUGAAAUGCGUAGAGAUGUGGAGGAACACCGAUGGCGAAGGCAGCCCCCUAGGUCAAGACUGACGCUCAUGCACGAAAGCGUGGGGAGCAAACAGG
rnacentral:rRNA from 1 species